AUGACAACGGAUUUCAUCGAAAAGCACUUCUACGCCACGACGUCCCUCAAGAUGGACCUGUCAGGCUCCGUGUCCAUCAUCCUUGGCAUGCUCGUGCCGUUGCUACAGGAACCCGUGAGGCAGCUCCUGCUGCGUAUGCCGGGCUCAAAAGACCGCCGGAUGGAAGAGACCAACUUGGCCAUGAGUGGGCUACUAGACAACAUUGUGGCUGAGCGGGCGGCACAAGCUGACAGGGGGGAGAAGAACUUCCUGUCUGUGAUGCUUAAUGCAAGCGAGAGCACAGACGCAAUGAGGAAGUUGUUGACGCAAGACUACGUGAGCGCACUUACAUACGAGCACUUACUUGCAGGGUCGGUGACCAUGUCCUUCACGUUGUCAAGCCUGGUGUACCUUGUGGCGAUGUACCCCGAGGUAGAGGAGAAGCUACUCAAGGAGAUCGACGCUUUUGGGCCCAAAGAUGUGGUACCCAAUGUUGAGGACAUCCAGACCAAAUUCCCUUACAUGGAGCAGGUUUUGAAAGAGACGAUGAGAUUCUACACUGUGUCCCCUCUGAUUGCAAGGGAAGCAUCCGAGGAUGUCCAGAUUGGAGGCUAUGUCCUUCCUAAGGGUACUUGGGUGUGGCUAGCACCAGGCGUACUAGCAAAAGACCCAAAGCAGUUCCCAGACCCCGACGUGUUUCGGCCUGAGCGGUUUGACCCUGAGAGCGAGGAAUGCAAGCGAAGGCAUCCCUAUGCAUUCAUUCCCUUUGGUAUUGGACCCCGGGCAUGCAUUGGGCAGAAGUUCGCGUUCCAGCAGCUCAAGCUCGUCAUUCUCCACCUCUACCGCCACCACGUCUUCAGGCACUCGCCCAACAUGGAAUUCCCGCUGCAGUUCCAGUAUUCCAUCUUGGUCAACUUCAAGCAUGGUGUCAAGCUCCAGGUCAUCGAAAGGAAGACUUGA
rnacentral:rRNA from 1 species